AAUAGGCUAUUUGACAAAGUUCUAAAAACUAUCUUAGGGUAUUUAUUUGUUUAUAAGGAGCCCUACAAAAAUACUUUUCUGCCUUUAUUACAGCUAUUUUAUUAAAAAAUCGAAAAAGAAAAUGAAAUAUUCAAAUAUGCCGCCAAAACGCGACUUUUAGCAAUAUGGCGGCCAUGGCAUGCAGUGACGUAAAUUUCGUGUAAAUAUCAUACAAACACCAACAGUGUUUCGAAAAGUUUUUAUUUUCUCUUGUUUUAUUUAACUUGUGCCACGUCAUAUGUGUGAAAAUUAUUACAAUGAGUUCCUAUAAAUGUUGUGCAGUGCCUCAAUGCACUAAUACAACAAUAAAAUCUCCUACGAAACUGUUUUUUUCUAUGCCGAUGGAUUUGAAUAUUCGCAAGAAGUGGUUUCAGAUCAUGAUCUAAGAUCAGUGGUUACCAAGAUAUACUUACAUUGAUGUUUUCACAUUCCUCAGUUCGGCAGCAUAGAAAUCUGGAUUGUUUUUGAAGAAGACGCCAACCAUUAUUGCGUCCACUUUUAGUAGGUUUCGACUGUCAGCUUUCGCGGAAUUGGUUUCCAUUAUUAAAUACCUAUGUUAUCUGACUAAUCCUGAGCGAUCAAACACUUAUAAAAUCUUGAAAAAUAAUAGCAAACACUAAGGAACGGUACGAUCCACAGUCUGUUUAUGGAUAAUUGACGUCAUAAUAGAAAUAGCCAAUCACGUUCGUUUUUAGUCACGUGACAGCUGCAUAAAAAACCCUAAUUUUCUGAGACGGAUUUUGUUAAAAUAAUGCAAUAUUUUUAUCUCGCGUUAAUACAAAUCGCUCCAAAAAAAUAAUAUUAAGACUGAUGACAUAAAAUAAAUGUAUAUUUUUAAUACAGUCAAAUAGCCUAUU